rnacentral:rRNA from 1 species
GACGAACCGUGCGAACGUUGUUCGGAAUCACUGGGCUUAAAGGGCGCGUAGGCGGACCAGAAAGUCGGGGGUGAAAUCUUUCAGCCCAACUGGAAAAGGGCUUCCGAUACUGCUGGUCUCGAGGGAGGUAGGGGUCGAGGGAACUAAUGGUGGAGCGGUGAAAUGCGUAGAUAUCAUUAGGAACGCCGGUGGCGAAAGCGCUCGACUGGGCCUCUUCUGACGCUGAGGCGCGAAAGCCAGGGGAGCAAACGGG